UUUUGUGUUGAUACAUUGUUGAUUUUUAAAUCCAUAAUUUUCUGUUCUCGACUUUCUCUCUUUCUCUCUUUUUUUCAGCCAUUGUCUCUUGAUAGCUAGCUCAACUGUUGCUUAAAACGACGACAGAAACAACAAUGCUUUGGAGAGUAUUUGCACAAUGAAUCCCAGAAUGCAUUUCAUUAUUUUAACAUGGCGGCCGGUGGCUCUGCAGAUCCGGGCCAUCACUGGGCCCAUGUGCGUCCCGGGCCCUAGUGCGACCGCACCGGCUGAAGCUACGCCACUGGCUGAGAGGGUCACCAAAACUAAUAGAACAUACAACUAUGCCGACAGCCAUCUGUGGACAAAGGGCGGGACAACGGGCCGCAACGAAAAAAUGCAUGGUUGCCAAGAAAGCGAUUAGUUUUGCUAGAUUCUUAAAAUGUGUACGCAGAAUUUGUGUGUUUUAAUUCUUAAUUGAUCUACCAUUUCUAUCAUAGGCCACUGUAAUCGAUGGGGGCUCAGGGCGAUACCAUUCUGCUCAUCUGAUGAAGGUGCACAUGGAUCAGAUUCAAACUUUGAAGACCGAGAUCGAGUCAUUGAAGCCAGACCAGCAGAAAGAGAAACAUUUUCUGAGGGCAGAGAUAGGGGCGACAGCUGAUGCAUUGGUCCAGAGCCAGGAGGCAUUGGCGGAGAGUCAGGCGGACAAUGACACAUUGAAGAGGGCGAGGAAUGAGAUGGAGUCACAGUCCAUGCCAGGCACACCUGUGAGCUCUGGAACUCCACCUCCGACAGGCAGAGUCAACGUACAUGACGGGUUCAUCAGCUCGUCAGUUCACCCUGACAUUUCCAUUCCUCUUCUGACAACAGAACUUGACCAACUGCUCACCAGGCACAGCAAGGGCCGCCCGGACUGGUAUGCUGUUCUGCUAUUCCAAGGAGAUGUAACAGAAGAGAGAUACCACGAGUGGGCACAGGAUACCAACUGGGAUGGAUCCCGAGGCAAAUGUGGCUUACCAGUGAACCUCCGGGUGUUCAUCAUUAAUACUGUGUCUCAGAAGUUUAUGUCCAUGACUGAUGCAACCCGAAAAAGCAUUAAAGACAGAGUUAAUGAGUACUUGAGGUCACGGAGAAAGUCUGGACAUGGCCUGCUCUCACUUAUGUAAGGAAUUUGGCACUUUCCCAUGUAUACUACAGUAUGUACUGUAGGCUAUGUUAACUUAUAAGACUGCA